rnacentral:rRNA from 1 species
CGCCAGACUCCUACGGGAGGCAGCAGUGGGGAAUAUUGCACAAUGGGCGAAAGCCUGAUGCAGCAACGCCGCGUGAAGGAAGAAGGCCUUCGGGUCGUAAACUUCUGUCCUUGGGGAAGAAGAACUGACGGUACCCAAGGAGGAAGCCCCGGCUAACUACGUGCCAGCAGCCGCGGUAAUACGUAGGGGGCAAGCGUUAUCCGGAUUUACUGGGUGUAAAGGGAGCGUAGACGGCCGUGCAAGUCUGAUGUGAAAACCCGGGGCUCAACCCCGGGACUGCAUUGGAAACUGCAUGGCUGGAGUGUCGGAGAGGCAAGUGGAAUUCCUAGUGUAGCGGUGAAAUGCGUAGAUAUUAGGAGGAACACCAGUGGCGAAGGCGGCUUGCUGGACGACGACUGACGUUGAGGCUCGAAAGCGUGGGGAGCAAACAGGAUUAGAUACCCCUGUAUUG